UGCCCAGCAACUCCUAUCCUUACCUCCUCGUGGUAUUGGCCGGGGUACGAGUAACCUCAGGGAAGAUCGGGUAACCAACCCCGGUGGAAACUUUGGUAGGUAUGCUGACAGGGAAGG
rnacentral:ribozyme from 1 species